UCCCAGCACAGAGUCGAGACAAAUGGGUUAUUUUAUCUGAAGCAACUGCAGCUAUAUUAAAAAACCCUCAUAGAUCAUACUUUUAUCAACAUUACAGCCAUUUGUGCCAGGUUUCGAAUAACUCACUCCUUCAAAGCUGUUAGAAGGCACAGCACUCAGAGAGUCAGCCUCCGCCCUCCCAUCCUAGUGGAGAUUCGGAUCGACCGGCUUUUUGUCCUAAGGAGCCUGCGAUUGGUGCAUCUUCUCGGAGCACUUUAAAACAUGCAAAUCAUAUUCCAACGCAUCUUUAAUGCCGGACCCAGAUUACCGGGAAGAACGCGAGGUGAUAAAACUCUCCGCGGGCUUGAGAACGGAGCUCCCUGGACCCGGCCGGCUCCCGGCAUCCUGGGGGGCACCGUCCCCGGAGCCACCGAUGCCACCUGCCAGCUCCUCCCGGGGCCCGGUCACCGCUCCAGUGGUGUUUUCCCCUCUGACCUCCAGAGCACCCCCGUUGUCCAGAGACCGGGUACGGGCAUCCGGUCUCCCUGGGAAGCCCGCCGCUCAACGACGCCGUCUCGCCGUUGGCAGCGGGGAAGCGGCACCUGGCACAACC